UCACCCCUAAAUUAACAGAAUUAUAAAUAAAUAAACACAACAUGGUUUAUUGUAUGGCAGGGGUCCCCAAACUAAGGCCCGGGGGCCGGAUGCGGCCCUCCAAGGUCAUUUACCUGGCCCCUGCCCUCAGUUUUAGACUUAGGCUCGCCCAAAGUCUGAAAUGACUUGAAGGCACACAACAACAACAACAAUCCUACUUAGCUUGACUAUGUCAUUGGCCAGAAGCAGGCCCACACUUCCCAUUGAAAUCCUGAUAGGUUUACAGUAUGUUGGUUAAAAUUGUUUUUAUUUUUAAAUAUUGUAUUGUUCUUUCAUUUACUAAUAUUGUGCUAUGGUAAUAAUAUAAUAUAUUGUGUAUACAUAUAAUAUUUAUUAUUUAUUUAUUUACAGCAUUUAUAUUCCGCCCUUCUCACCCCGAAGGGGACUCAGGGCGGAUCACAUUGCACACAAUUCUGAUAAUACAGUAGAGUCUCACUUAUCCAAGCUCACUUAUCCAAGGUUCUGUAUUAUCCAAGGCAGUCUGCCUUUUAGUAGUCAUUGUUUUUGUCAUAAUAAAAUAAUAAUAAUAAUAAUAAUCAUCAUCAUCAUCCAAAAAUACAUCACACAGCCCUAGACACUUGGGAAGUGUUCAACUUGUGAUUUUUUUUAUACGAAAUCCAGCAUAUCUAUCUUGUUUGCUGUGUCAUAAUAAAAUAAUAAUAACAAGUCAAUGUUGCAAUGUUUUUGUGCUAAAUUUGUAAAUACAGUAAUUACUAUAUAACAUUACUGUGUAUUAAACUGCUUUUUCUGUCAAUUUCUUGUAAAACAGGAUGUUUUGGUGCUUAAUUUGUAAAACCAUAAUGUAAUUUUAUGUUUAAUAGGCCUUUUUCUUAAUCCCUCCUUAUUAUCCAAGAUUUUCGCUUUUCCAAGGUUCUGCCGGCCCAUUUAUCUUGGAUAAGUGAGACUCUAGUGUAAUAUUAUAAUGUAAUACAAUAUAAUAUUUAUUUAUUACAGUAUUUCUACCCCCGCCCUUCUCACCCAAUAGGGGACUCAGGGCGGCUGAUAAUAAUAAUAAGACAAUAUAAUAAUAUUGUAUAAUAUAAUAAUAUUAAUUAUAUAUUAUAUAUUAAAUAUAAUAUUACCAAUAAUAUUACAGUGUAGUGGUGUGGUAUAGUACAAUAUAGUAACAUAUAAUGCUAAUAUUGUGCUAUGCUAAUAAUAUAAUAUAUUGUAUGUACAUACAACUUGUAAGCCGCUCUGAGUCCCCUUCGGGGUGAGAGAGGGCGGGAUAUAAAUGUAGUAAGCAAACAAAUAAAUAAUUGUUGGGGGGUGUUCGCACUACAAAUAAGACAUGUGCAGUGUAAAAUUUGUUCUUUUUUUUUUCAAGUGAUAAUUUGGCCCCUCAACAAUCUGAGGGACCAUGAACCGGCCCUCCACUUAAAAAGUUUGAGGACCCCUGUUGUAUGGUUUGUAUGCAUUGUGUGGUGAUGUCAAUUCCUUUAGAGCUCCGACUCUGGAGCAGACAUCCUCUCCGGCCUGGACGUGAACAACCUCCGUCUGUCGCCUUUCGAACCCGGUUUGUGUUUCGUCAGCGGGAAAAAGACAGCUGGGUUUACUAUACGGUCUGAGAAAUACGCACCACGAUAAAGGUUCAAAGCAUACAACACAAUAUGUAUAUUAGAGCAUCGUAUACACAAUAAUGUUAACCAUAAUGCAAAUCAUAAUACAAAAUUAUUGCAAAUAAUGCAAAUAAUACACAGAGCAGUUUUGAGUAUAAAACGUAUAUCAAACAUAUAUCAACCAGACUCCAACUGAAAUUUGUUAGCGACACAAUAUGUUUACAUUCAGUCUCUCCAAAAUGGUAUGUAAUAUGCUAUGAAACUAAAUAUAUCAGUGUACUGCGGGUAGAUAAAUAGGUACGGCGGGUAGAUAAAUAGCUACGGCGGGUAGAUAAAUAGGUACGGCGGGUAGAUAAAUAGGUAACAGGAUAGAUAAAUAGGUACGGCGGGUAGAUAAAUAGGUACCAGGAUAGAUAAAUAGGUACGUCGGGUAGAUAAAUAGGUACAGCGGGUAGAUAAAUAAGUACGGUGGGUAGAUAAAUAGGUACGGCGGGUAGACAAAUAGGUACGGUGGGUAGAUAAAUAGGUACGGUGGGUAGAUAAAUAGGUACGGCGGGUAGAUACAUAGGUAACAGGUAGAUAAAUAGGUACGGCGGAUAGAUAAAUAGGUACGGCGGGUAGAUAAAUAGGUACUGCGGGUAGGUAAAUAGGUACGGUGGGUAGAUAAAUAGGUACGGCGGGUAGACAAAUAGGUACGGCGGGUAGAUAAAUAGGUACGGCGGGUAGAUAAAUAACUACGGCGGGUAGACAAAUAGGUACGGUGGGUAGAUAAAUAGGUAUGGCGGGUAGACAAAUAGGUACGGUGGGUAGAUAAAUAGGUAUGGCGGGUAGACAAAUAGGUACGGUGGGUAGAUAAAUAGGUAUGGCGGGUAGAUAAAUAGGUACAGCGGGUAGAUAAAUAGGUACUGCGGG